GUGAAUCAUCGAAUUUUUGAACGCAAAUUGCACUCUCUUCUGAGAGUAUGCCUGUUUCAGUGUCAGCCUAAAAAAAAUCGACAUAGUCACUGUUUCGCGGUGACAUUCGUCGGAAAUUGUUUCAUCUUACACCUUUUGGUUUUAAUCGGCUUAAAAUUUUCUUUACUAUUCCACUAACGUUUCUAAUAUUUACUUACACGUUUAAGGUAUCCAUCUUUAUUAUACGUGGCCGUUGCAUCGGAUCGCGUCCAUAAAUAUUUCGUUAACUUACCUAAUACAAGUAAUAACACCCACUCAAC
rnacentral:misc_RNA from 1 species